UCCUGAUCUCGGGCCCAGGCACUGAACAGUGACCUUCACCCUCAUGGUCCCCUCCCCCACAGGAAGAUGUCACCUGCUUCACCUGUGCUCUGAACUGCCACAGCUCCCCUUCCAGAUUCUGUCCCACUGUGCUGCCCGGACAGACAUCUUUGUUCUUUUUAACUUAAAGACUUAGAACUGGAUUGUUCAGAAAAGGAAGGGCAGAGAAAAGAAAAAAGAAAUGGAAGGGGAGGCAAGGGGAAGUACCAGGGAUUGAACUCAUGACUGCCUGCUUGCAAGGAAACACAGGGACACAGAAGCAGGUUAAAUAACAUCAUGGAGCUGGGUGUAACCAAUCACAAGUAUAGAAUGUGGAAAAGUCCACCAAAUUUUGACUUAGUUUCUUCAACAAACUAAUUGCAAAGUAAACAAAGUGAGGGGUGGUGGUGACUACAGAUUUAAAAAGAUA